AAUAUAGAUUCAUUCCAGAAAGUGAUUGCUUAAAAUAUUUCUUCGAAUAAAAAAAGAUUUACUGAAGAACCACGCAAAACAAAAUAUUUUAAUUAAAUGGCUUUAUUGAAUUUUGACCAAAUUAACUCCAAAAAGUGUAUUUGGACUAUCAUACAAAUGGCAAGAAUGCCAAAGAAAACUAGAGACAGAUUAAAAAUGAACAAAAAUAAUAAUUGAAAAAUCACGUCUCAAAAUAAUAAUAAUAAUAAUAAAAAAAUGAGCUUACAUACCAGUAAAUCCAGGUAUGGGUGAUUCCGCCAAGAAAAAAUUACUAAAACAAUGUUCAUUUCAGAAAAUCUUGAAGAAUAAGGCGAUUGGGUUCUUCAGAAGCUCUGAUUCGUGGCCCGAUUACGGGCAAACAGGAUCCUCUCACUCGUCUAAGCUCUCUCAUCCAUUCAGAUCUCAAUGGCACCGGUUACAGUGGUAAGGUAAUAGAUUUCAGUCGCAUAAACGCCGUCGAUGACGCCAUGUUCUUGUUUCGCGUAAUGAUAGGAAUGAAAACGCAGCCUUAUGUUCAUGAAUUCACUAAAUUGUUGAAUAUCGUUGUCGAAAAUGGAGCAGUAUACGGUUGCCCUCCAACUGUUCGACGAAAUGCGUCAGUGGGGCUCCCCUGUAAACGAGCACACCUUUGAUAUUGCGAUGAAUUGUUACUUCGUUCUCAAUCAGGAUAGUUGAGGCUGAGAAACCCGUUUAAGAAGCUGUUGGUUGAUAAUUAUAGGCUCUGUGAGCCUUUGGAAGUAAUGAUUGGUUAUCUAACUAAUGAGAUCUGCAAAGUGGGGAGGGCUCGCCUAGCGUGUGAUUAUCUUGAUCUGUUUGCAGAAGAGGGAUACAAUGAUAAUCCUUAUGCUUGCAGCGUUGUGAUUGAUAGUUUUUGUAAGGGUGGAAUGGUUGAAGACGCGUUAAAUCUAUUGCACAGAAUGAUGGGUAGAGGCGUUUUGCCUGAUGUGUAGCAUUUCUUUGGAUGUCACUUUUAACGUGUUGGUCACCAUGCUCUGCAAGAAGGGGAAGGUGAAGAAGGUGGAGAAUCUCAUUGAAUUCAUGAUGGAACAAAAUGUUAGUCCUGAUGUCUACACUUACAGUGCCUUGAUAGAGAUGUAUUGUUUGCAAGGCGAAAUUUGAUCCGUAAUGAAUGACUUGAUUCACA